AGCUAUAUAGUGUAGUGGUCAAUAUAUAUACUCUCUAUAUACCUAACCUCUAGACUUGUCUAGAGGUUAGGCUAUGACUAGCGUAGGGUCGUGGGUUCGAUUCCUAUUAUAGCUA